AGUGUUUGAGGAAGAAUAAAGUAGCUCUUGAUGAAGAAGCUACUGAAUUUGAUUACGAUAAGGCUAACGAAGACUUUGAACCGGUAUUAGGUGGUGCACUUACACCUGGAAUACAAAUACGCGAUCUUAAAAAGUCUUAUACAACGUGCUGGUUACGAAAUUCUAAAGUCCAUGCUCUGAAAGGAAUAUCCGUAGACUUUUAUAAAGGACAAAUUACUGCACUGCUUGGACACAAUGGAGCAGGCAAAACUACGCUUAUGUCUAUAUUAACAGGUGUGACAAGCGUAACAGAAGGAAAAGUGUUUAUAAAUGGCAAAAAUAUAGAAAAGCACUUGAGUAGUAUUAUAAAUAAAUUAGGACUCUGUCCUCAAGAAAAUAUAGUUUUUCCAGAUUUGAAUGUAUUUGAACA